rnacentral:tRNA from 1 species
AAGAAGUUAGUUAAAAUAUAACAUUAGUAUGUCAUACUAAAAUUAUUAAAAUUUAUAAUACAUCUUU